UACGGAAGGCAGCAGUGGGGAAUAUUGCACAAUGGGCGAAAGCCUGAUGCAGCUAUGCCGCGUGUAUGAAGAAGGCCUUAGGGUUGUAAAGUACUUUCAUCGGGGAGGAAAAAACAAAACUAAUAAUUUUAUUUCUUGACGUUACCCGAAAAAGAAGCACCGGCUAACUCCGUGCCAGCAGCCGCGGUAAUACGGAGGGUGCUAGCGUUAAUCAGAAUUACUGGGCGUAAAGAGCACGUAGGUGGUUUUUUUAAGUCAGAUGUGAAAUCCCUGGGCUUAACCUAGGAACUGCAUUUUGAAACUGAAAUACUAGAGUAUCGUAGAGGGAGGUAGAAUUCUAGGUGUAGCGGUGAAAUGCGUAGAUAUCUGGAGGAAUACCUGUGGCGAAAGCGGCCUCCUAAACGAAUACUGACACUGAGGUGCGAAAGCGUGGGGAGCAAACAGGGAUUAGAUUCC
rnacentral:rRNA from 1 species